rnacentral:rRNA from 1 species
GUGGCGAACGGGUGAGUAACACGUGGGUAACCUGCCCAUCAGAAGGGGAUAACACUUGGAAACAGGUGCUAAUACCGUAUAACACUAUUUUCCGCAUGGAAGAAAGUUGAAAGGCGCUUUUGCGUCACUGAUGGAUGGACCCGCGGUGCAUUAGCUAGUUGGUGAGGUAACGGCUCACCAAGGCAACGAUGCAUAGCCGACCUGAGAGGGUGAUCGGCCACACUGGGACUGAGACACGGCCCAGACUCCUACGGGAGGCAGCAGUAGGGAAUCUUCGGCAAUGGACGAAAGUCUGACCGAGCAACGCCGCGUGAGUGAAGAAGGUUUUCGGAUCGUAAAACUCUGUUGUUAGAGAAGAACAAGGAUGAGAGUAAAAUGUUCAUCCCUUGACGGUAUCUAACCAGAAAGCCACGGCUAACUACGUGCCAGCAGCCGCGGUAAUACGUAGGUGGCAAGCGUUGUCCGGAUUUAUUGGGCGUAAAGCGAGCGCAGGCGGUUUCUUAAGUCUGAUGUGAAAGCCCCCGGCUCAACCGGGGAGGGUCAUUGGAAACUGGGAGACUUG